rnacentral:rRNA from 1 species
UAACGCGUGGUCAACCUUCCGUUGAAUGGGGGAUAACUAGCCGAAAGGUUAGCUAAUACCGCAUACGAUCUUUCGAAGGCAUCUUUUGAAAAGAUGAAAGGAGCAAUUCGUUCAACGACGGGACCGCGUCCCAUUAGCUAGAUGGUGGGGUAAUGGCCUACCAUGGCAACGAUGGGUAGCUGGUUUGAGAGAGCGACCAGCCACACUGGGACUGAGAGACGGCCCAG